AGAAGAGAAACUAUUGAUUAGAUUGUGAAUCCGCAUUAUCAAUUAAAUGCAAUCAAGGUACUAAGAAGCUUGUUUAGAGCGGCUAACUAUCAAUCACUGGGGUUGCUCGUUCUUUGGCCAUGGAAGGAGCCAUGGCAGAUAGCUCAAACUCGAAAGAAUCAGGACAUGACAAAGCUCAUAUGAUGCAGCAUGGCCUUUGCACAAACCAAUCUCUGGUCCAAUACCAAAAUAGACCCCUUUUAUAUCAAAAGGUCCUGUAAACUGUAUUUUCCAACCUUAUAUUUCCUUUUAAUCUUAUUAUUGUAUUGGGUUUUGUCAGAAUGUGUGCAGGGGACCAUAAGUUCUUCCACAUGAUAAGAAUAUAUUAUUGGGUUUUCAA